GUCACGCCAAUAAAGCCAUUUGAAUUGAAUUGAAUUGAGAGAGACAGUUAGCAGUUAGCAGCCAGCAGUUAGCAGCCAGCAUUUAGAAGGCAGAAGGUAGCAGGAAGCAGUUAGCAGUGAGCAGGUAGCAGUUAGCAGUUAGCAGGUAGCAGUCAGCACGUAGCAGUCAGCAAUUAGCAGGUAGCAGUUAGCAGGUAGCAGUUAGUAGUUAGCAGGUAGCAGUUAGCAGGUAGCAGUCAGCACGUAGCAGUCAGCAAUUACAGGUAGCAGUUAGCAGUUAGCAGUCAGCAGGUAGCAGUCAGCAGUAAAU